AUUCUUAAACAUGGCCAGCAUCGUGCUCUAAAACAAUACACGAUUUCCAACGACAUUUGCGUUAAAUUCGUAUUAAUUUACUUGAUACAUUACUUGAUUUUCUGUAGCUGAAAAUGAAGCUAGUCGUGUUUCUAUUAAAGUGAUGUAUUAAUUUGGGUAUGACUUCAUCAUCGCGAUAUUGUUUUCGAAACAUCAUUCAUGUUUCCAUGUUUGGCCAAGUGCGACAGAUAAUGUGGAUGUUUAACUGAUUAAACGGAUUACGGUGGCUACACCUUAGAAAGAUUCUCGGAGAUAAGAUGAGCAAUAAGAUGAUACAAACAAUUACAAGAAAAAAAGAAGUACAAGGUUCAGUUUCAAAUAAAAACGUAACCACAGUGACAAUAAUAAAUUCAAAAAAUCAUUUUCAUAUGUAUGCAAUAUAUCAAAUAAUUUUUUGUUACUUUAAUUAUUAGUUUCAUUCAGCAAAGUAUAUCAAUAUCAGAAACGAUAAAUGCAUACUAAUAUAAAAUACUUUCACGUUAUUUAAAUUACAUGUUACAUUAUAUUUGUGUAAGUUUCACGUUAUAUUAUGUAUUACGUGUAUUAAACGUAUCUUAGUUAACGCAACUCGUUUCGUUUCAUCAGAUUUUGAAUAAAUUUCCAUUCGUAUACAAAAUCACACGCUUUUCCAUCAUUAAAAUGCGAUCGUAUCUAUACAGGGUGUCCCAAAAAUGUUGGAGGUUCUUGAAAGGGGUGGUUCGGA